rnacentral:rRNA from 1 species
UACGUAGGGUGCAAGCGUUAAUCGGAAUUACUGGGCGUAAAGCGUGCGCAGGCGGUGAUGUAAGACAGGUGUGAAAUCCCCGGGCUUAACCUGGGAACUGCAUUUGUGACUGCAUCGCUGGAGUGCGGCAGAGGGGGAUGGAAUUCCGCGUGUAGCAGUGAAAUGCGUAGAUAUGCGGAGGAACACCGAUGGCGAAGGCAAUCCCCUGGGCCUGCACUGACGCUCAUGCACGAAAGCGUGGGGAGUAAACAGG